UAGUGGCGAAAGGGUGAGUAACGCGUGAGUAACCUGUCCUGAGGUUGGGAAUAGCUCGGGGAAACCCGGAUUAAUACCGAAUGUGGUUGGUCGAGUUUCGACAUGAUCAACUAAAGGCCGCAAGGCCGCCUUUGGAGGGACUCGCGUCCCAUCAGCUAGUUGGCGGGGUAAUGGCCCACCAAGGCAACGACGGGUAGGUGGUCUGAGAGGAUGGUCACCCACACUGGGACUGAGACACUGCCCAGACUCC
rnacentral:rRNA from 1 species